rnacentral:rRNA from 1 species
UGGAAACUNUCUGACUUGAGUGCAGAAGGGGAGAGUGGAAUUCCAUGUGUAGCGGUGAAAUGCGUAGAUAUAUGGAGGAACACCAGUGGCGAAAGCGGCUCUCUGGUCUGUCACUGACGCUGAGGCUCGAAAGCGUGGGUAGCGAACAGGAUUAGAUACCCUGGUAGUCCACGCCGUAAACGAUGAGUGCUAGGUGUUAGGCCCUUUCCGGGGCUUAGUGCCGGAGCUAACGCAAUAAGCACUCCGCCUGGGGAGUACGACCGCAAGGUUGAAACUCAAAGGAAUUGACGGGGGCCCGCACAAGCGGUGGAGCAUGUGGUUUAAUUCGAAGCAACGCGAAGAACCUUACCAGGUCUUGACAUCCCGAUGCUAUUCUUAGAGAUAGGGAGUUACCUCGGUACAUCGGAGACAGGUGGUGCAUGGUUGUCGUCAGCUCGUGUCGUGAGAUGUUGGGUUAAGUCCCGCAACGAGCGCAACCCUUAUUGUUAGUUGCCAUCAUUAAGUUGGGCACUCUAGCGAGACUGCCGGUAAUAAACCGGAGGAAGGUGGGGAUGACGUCAAAUCAUCAUGCCCCUUAUGACCUGGGCUACACACGUGCUACAAUGGUCGGUACAACGAGUUGCGAGCCGGUGACGGCAAGCUAAUCUCUGAAAGCCGAUCUCAGUUCGGAUUGGAGGCUGCAACUCGCCUCCAUGAAGUCGGAAUCGCUAGUAAUCGCGGAUCAGCACGCCGCGGUGAAUACGUUCCCGGGCCUUGUACACACCGCCCGUCACACCACGAGAGUUUGUAACACCCGAAGUCGGUGAGGUAACCUUUUAGGGGCCAGCCGCCUAAGGUNGGA